ACUCAGGCUCCUUCUUAUUGUUCUCCCAUCCCCGCUGAUGGAGUCGUGCCUACAGGGUGAAAAGCGGCCCAUGAUCAUGUCUGCCGGGUUCACAUUCCAGCUGACAGGAGGAAAGAACUGGGGAGUGGAACACAUACCUGUCUCUUUUAAGGGCCCAGCCAGUGUUGCGCUGGGGGUGGCUAGCACCAGCUCAUCAGAGCCGGUUAACUUUUCAGGAAUUACAUGAGCUGGUUGUUAAACACAGCCUUUAUUAAAAAUUAAAUUACAGGGGGCUGGCCCCAUGGCCGAGUGGUUAAGUUCGCACACUCCGCUGCGGCGACCCAGGGUUCAGAUCCCGGGCGCGGACAUGGCACUGCUCGUCAGGCUACUUUGGGGUGGCGUCCCACAUGCCACAACUAGAAGGACCUGCAACUAAGAUAUACAACUAUGUACGGGCGGGGGGUGGUUUGGGGAGAUAAAGCAGGAAAAAAAAGAAAAGAAGAUUGGCAACAGUUGUUAGCUCAGGUGCCAAUCUUUAAAAAAAAAUUAAAUUACAGAAACUCACAAUUAAACAAAUUAUACUAAAAACAAGUGCAGCAGAUACUGAAAACUCAACCCUUCCUAAUUAUUUCACUAUUAUCUGUGCUCUUCUGGUCAUUUACUCCUAUUGUUUAUACAUGGAAACACUAUAUACAAUAUACUACUGCAUCUCUUGUUCUGACAGUGCAGAAAUAAAGCAAUAACCAACAAGCUGUGUUUCUCACGAAGUCUGCAGAAACACUUGGAACCCACGUGCACACAGAUGCUCUAUAAAGAAAAUCCGCAACUGCUAUUUCAAAUGCCCAGGAUGUCGCCUCCACUUUAUUUUUUUUUUUUAAGAUUUUAUUUUUUUCCUUUUUCUCCCCAAAGCCCCCCGGUACAUAGUUGUAUAUUCUUCGUUGUGGGUCCUUCUAGUUGUGUCAUGUGGGACGCUGCCUCAGUGUGGUUUGAUGAGCAGUAGCCAUGUCCGUGCCCAGGAUUCGAACCAAUGAAACACUGGGCUGCCUGCAGCGGAUUGCGCGAACUUAAUCACUGGGCCACGGGGUCAGCCCCUCCACU
rnacentral:lncRNA from 1 species